GGGGGAGAGAGCUCUGAGUAAACCAAAGGGAGAGAGAUUGAGAAAGCGAUGAGCGGAAUAGCAUCGGUAUCGUUCUUAGCUCGAAGAGCAUCGCAGAGGGAGAGGGUUCGGAUCCUCUACAGGCGUGCUCUCAGAGACACUCUUAAUUGGGCCGUCCAUCGUCAUCUCUUCUAUCCUGAUGCGGAUGCCCUAAGGGAGCGAUUUGAGGUCAACAGAAAAGUGGAAGAUGUUGAAACUAUUGAUAGACUUAUAGCUGAUGGUGAAGCAUCCUACAAUAAGUGGCGGCACCCUGAUCCU
rnacentral:misc_RNA from 1 species